rnacentral:tRNA from 3 species
GCCCUCGUAGCUCAGCUGGAUAGAGCACUUCCCUCCUAAGGAAGGGGUCGUGCGUUCGAAUCGCGCCGGGGGCA